rnacentral:rRNA from 1 species
AUAAGCGGAGGAAAAGAAACCAACCGGGAUUACCUCAGUAACGGCGAGUGAAGCGGUAACAGCUCAAAUUUGAAAUCUGGCUCCAUUCGGAGUCCGAGUUGUAAUUUGGAGAAGAUGCUUUGGGUUGUGGGUUCGGCCUAAGUUCCUUGGAACAGGACGUCAUAGAGGGUGAGAAUCCCGUAUGUGGCCGAGGCCUGCGCCCGUGUAAAGCUCUUUCGACGAGUCGAGUUGUUUGGGAAUGCAGCUCAAAAUGGGUGGUAAAUUUCAUCUAAAGCUAAAUAUGGGCCAGAGACCGAUAGCGCACAAGUAGAGUGAUCGAAAGAUGAAAAGCACUUUGGAAAGAGAGUUAAACAGCACGUGAAAUUGUUGAAAGGGAAGCGCUUGCAACCAGACUUGGGCGCUGCUGAUCAUCCAGAGUUCUCUCUGGUGCACUCGACAGCGCACAGGCCAGCAUCGGUUCGGGUGGCUGGAGAAAGACCGGCGGAACGUAGCUCUCCUUCGGGGGAGUGUUAUAGCCUCUGGUGUCAUACAGCCCAGCCGGACCGAGGACCGCGCCUUCGGGCUAGGAUGCUGGCGUAAUGGUUGUAAGCGACCCGUCUUGAAACACGGACCAAGGAGUCUAACAUCUAUGCGAGUGUUUGGGCGUUAAACCCAUACGCGGAAUGAAAGUGAACGUAGGUGAGAACCCUUUGGGGUGCAUCAUCGACC